rnacentral:lncRNA from 1 species
AUGGGGAAUCCAGAUUUUUUAAAAUGUGCGGAGAGACAGAUGCUCUUAUUAGUUGGAAACCCGGCACAGUUGAUGAGACAUCAUCCUCAAAGAUACAGCUAUGGAUUAUUCUCUAUCUUUAAAUGUGAACAUUUAAAUCCCAAAUUCGAUGGGAACCGGGGGGUUGCGGCGGCGGCGGGAGGCGGGGGGUACCCAGGCCAGUCCUUCUCCCUUUGGUCUCUGGAAGACCCAAUCCCCAAGGAUGCCGUGCUUUCCCCGGAGAAGACGGGGAAAACCCUCGCGCAGAGAGACCAAAGAGGCUCGAAAGAAAACGAGAGCUCAAGGCAUCACACACCAAGGAUCGGGUCCUUCCUGGGCAGGAGGCGCGCAACGCCACGCACCUCCCAAGGAAACCGGCCGCCCGGUCCCUUCGCCUUUAACGCACCCUCCCCACGGCCACCCGUCCCAUCUAGUGGGGAUGCUCUCUUUCCCCCCCCCAUGGGCCACCCCCCAGAAAGCGGAGUUCCCUCGCCUUUUACACCUGUAACCUCCCCCCCCUCCGCCUUUUCCUCGCCAAGCGCGCACGGAUCUUGCCCCACGCCUGCCCGCCAGACACCCCCGAGGGGAUCCCCUCUCUUCUUUACCGGAGGGUGGUGGUGGUGGUGGUGGAGGGCAGGGGGAGACCCAGAGACUCCCACCCCUCUGCAAACCUCCCCCCCCCGGUGGAAAACAAGUCUCUCCAUUCGGCCUUGGGUGGCUCUUCGUUCCGAUUGCCGGCCGGCCGGCCGGCCACCCACCGCCCCGCUGGCCUUCCUUCCUCUUCAUCGGGCCGUCGGUGGGUCUUCCUCCGGGCCCUCCAUCCAUCCAUCCAUCCUUGCCUUCUUCCUUGGACGCUGGCGAGAUCUCCAUCCCAAAUCCUUCCCAAGCCUUUGCUGCCGCCGCCGCCGCCGGCCUUUUCUCGGUUUCGUGCUGAGGAUGCGGAGGGAGAGAGCGCGCGAGAGGGAUGCGCACCGAGAAGCAUCUUUGCGCUCCGUCUCUCUCUCUCUCUCUGUUAAUUCUUGGUUUUUCUGUUUUUUUUAA